rnacentral:rRNA from 1 species
AACGAACGCUGGCGGCAUGCCUAACACAUGCAAGUCGAACGAGACCUUCGGGUCUAGUGGCGCACGGGUGCGUAACGCGUGGGAACCUGCCCUUAGGUUCGGAAUAACUCCCCGAAGGGGGUGCUAAUACCGGAUAAGGUCUUCGGACCAAAGAUGUAUCGCCAUUGGAUGGGCGCGCGUUAGAUUAGCUGGUUGGUAGGGUAAAAGCCUAGCAAGGCGACGAUCCAUGGCUGGUCUGAGAGGAUGCUAAGUAACACUGGAGAUGCGACACGGCCCAGAAUCCUACGGAAGGGAGCAGUAGGGAGUACUGGGCGCUGGGCGAAAGCCUGACACAGCAAUGUCGCGUGAGUGAGGAAGGCGUUAGGGUUGUAAAGCUCUUUUAGCCGGGAUGAUAAUGACAGUACCGGGAGAAUAAGCACCGGCUAACUACGUG